rnacentral:miRNA from 1 species
UAAAUGCAGAUUCCUGAGCCCAUCCCCAGAGAUUCUGCUUCACUAGGCCUAGGGUGAAGCCCAGGAAUCUGCAUUUUCAUAAGCCCCCUGGGCGACUCUG